GACGAACGCUGGCGGCGUGCUUAACACAUGCAAGUCACGGGGGCCCAGCAAUGGGUAACCGGCGAACGGGUGCGUAACACGUGAGCAACCUGCCGAUCUGAGGGGGAUAGCCGGCCCAACGGCCGGGUAAUACCGCAUACGUUCUUGAGAGGACAUCCUCUUGGGAAGAAACCUCCGGGGCAGAUCGAGGGGCUCGCGGCCUAUCAGCUAGUUGGUGUGGGUAACGGCCCACCAAGGCGACGACGGGAGCUGGUCUGAGAGGAUGGCCAGCCACAUUGGGACUGAGAGACGGCCCAGACUCCUACGGGAGGCAGCAGUGGGGAAUCUUGCGCAAUGGCCGAAAGGCUGACGCAGCGACGCCGCGUGUGGGAUGAAGCAUUUCGGUGUGUAAACCACUGUUGCCCGGGACGAACAGCUCUUUUCGAGGAGCCUGACGGUACCGGGUGAGGAAGCACCGGCUAACUCCGUGCCAGCAGCCG
rnacentral:rRNA from 1 species